rnacentral:rRNA from 1 species
UACGUAGGUGGCAAGCGUUGUCCGGAUUUAUUGGGUUUAAAGGACGCGUAGGCGGCCAGCACAAGUCAGUUGUGAAAUCUCCGAGCUUAACUCGGAAAGGUCAACUGAUACUGUGCGGCUAGAGUGCGGAAGGGGCAACUGGAAUUCUUGGUGUAGCGGUGAAAUGCGUAGAUAUCAAGAGGAACACCUGCGGCGAAGGCGGGUUGCUGGGCCGACACUGACGCUGAUGCGCGAAAGCUAGGGGAGCGAACGGG